GCCGGCGUAGCUCAGUGGUAGAGCAGCUGAUUCGUAAUCAGCAGGUCGCGGGUUCAAGUCCCAUCGCCGGCUCCA
rnacentral:tRNA from 1 species